rnacentral:pre_miRNA from 1 species
UCUUAUGAAUGAGCAAAGAAAGUAGUUUCUUGGGAUGGAAACAACUCCUGGUGAAGAUACUGUGAA